rnacentral:tRNA from 1 species
GCCGCGAUAGCUCAGUUGGUAGAGCGCAUUCAUGGUAAGGAUGAGGUCUCGGGUUCAAGCCCCGAUCGUGGCUCCA